CCGGUAGUGAAGGCAGAGAGAGAGGCAGGCUGGGUCCGCCUGGCAGCCUACGGGAGGAGGCGGGAGCCGGGAAGGAGGGGAGCCGAGGCCCGGCGUGGGGAGGCCGGCAGGAAGGGCCUCGAGCCCAGUGCGGACCUUUCUUCAGCCUCUGUGCUACCGAGCCGCGCGCCAGGCUCCUGUGCGAGGAGGACGCGCUGACUCCCUCCGACCUGGGCUCCGAUGGAGCAGAAAUAGCGGGACCUGGACUUGUGGCGCGCCUGGUGCCACAUCUCGGGCUCUGCGAGCGUCCUGGCGCGGGAUCCUGCCUAAUGUCUUACAAUAACAGAAUGCAGGAGAGCACAUAUCAAUGAAGAAAAGACAAAAUGUACUUAUCCAUGAAGCUGAGGUUAAGAAACCAGUGUCUUCAAGAGCCAAGGACAGCACUGGGUCUGUGCAGAGUUGAGAGAUGGUGAUGACAUGUGGUUUCCAGCAUUCCUCACCCAGUCCAGGGACACUGUGGGUGUGCCCAGCUUAAGUCCAGUAACUGGAAAUACAAGCCCAAGUUCUGGAGAGUUUGAGCUGCAGAGAUAUAUGUGGGAACACUUUGAACCUUGACUCAUUGGCCAUAACCAGCAGAGUGGAAAAUACAAGAAGAGAAAAAAACAUUGAACUGCGAUUUUAUAACAUCCUUUACUCGGCAGAGAGAAGAGGAAACACCAGGAAAGAAAACUGUAUUACGAUGUGAAAACUUAACGUUGAGAAAUUCAGGCAUCUUGGGGUUAGUGAGGAGAAGUUUUAGGGGCUUAGAUUCUUCAAAACACAUGUACAGAAAUGCAUAUUUCAUCUGAUAUCAAAUGACAUUUAUAGUGCUAAUCUUUACCUCAAGACUUCACAUCUUUUGGUGAUUGCAUCUUUUAGGUUUAUAGCAGCUAAGUUUGCAUGAAAACACCAGGGCUGUUUCAUUUCAGUCAAGAAUUAAUGUUCAUUGAUUGUGCUUCUGCAUUUCACGUAACUAUUGUAGAAUUUGUUUUAGUUUUAUGAGGGAAUAAUUGGUCCAACUUCUAUAUAACUCAGGAAUUUACUCUCAAACAACACUGUCAAUUAGUUACUUAUCUCUCUGGAAAUGAUCUGGGAACAUGGAGAGGAAAGGGAGGAAGGGGCAAAAUCUGACCACUUAAAUCUAAGCAUAUUAGAUCAUUUUAUGCUAGAAAGUCCUGAAUGAUGUGACUUUUGUUCUUGUAAAACACCUCUUUCCAUAGAUUCAUGGCCCAAACAGUAUAUAAAGAGUGGGGAAGGAACUGCAUUUGCAAAUAGUUCAAGUCAUUGCUC
rnacentral:lncRNA from 1 species